CGAGUGGCGAACGGGUGAGUAACGCGUGGGUAACCUGCCUCAUACAGGGGGAUAACAGUUGGAAACGGCUGCUAAUACCGCAUAAGCGCACAGUACCGCAUGGUACGGUGUGAAAAACUCCGGUGGUAUGAGAUGGACCCGCGUCUGAUUAGGUAGUUGGUGGGGUAACGGCCUACCAAGCCGACGAUCAGUAGCCGACCUGAGAGGGUGACCGGCCACAUUGGGACUGAGACACGGCCCAA
rnacentral:rRNA from 1 species